rnacentral:rRNA from 1 species
UACGUAGGGGGCAAGCGUUGUCCGGAUUUAUUGGGCGUAAAGAGCGUGUAGGCGGCCUUACAGGUCAGCUGUGAAAACUCGAGGCUCAACCUCGAGACGUCGGUUGAAACCGUAUGGCUAGAGUCCGGAAGAGGAGAGUGGAAUUCCCGGUGUAGCGGUGAAAUGCGCAGAUAUCGGGAAGAACACCCGUGGCGAAGGCGGCACUCUGGGACGGUACUGACGCUGAGACGCGAAAGCGUGGGGAGCGAACAGG